rnacentral:rRNA from 1 species
GAAACCGUUUAGGGGUAAACCUGAGAAACCCGAAAGGUCGAAGGGAGAAAUUCAUUCGCGUUUCGCCGUUGGCGUGAGACGGGGUCGUGAGACGGAAAACGUUCGCGCGUUUUCCGCUCCUCUCGUUUUUCGAUCCGAUAGCGAACGCGUGCACUUUUCUCCUGGUAGGACGUCGCGAUCCGUUGAGUGUCGGUCUACGGCUCGCGGUGGAGCCCGUACGUACGGCUUUUUGUCGUCACGUGCGGACCCGCUUGUCCCGGCUGACUCGCUCGACGGUAUACGAAAGGUUUAAGGCCGCUCUUUUUUGAGCGUUCGGCUCGUCGCAAGCGCGUCAGAUGUUUGUCGGUGAUCGGACCUGGUGCCGGUUCUGACCUCUGGCGACUGUUGGUGACGAAGUUUUCGAACAGACUUUUGACCGAUCUGCGACGCUAUAGCUUUGGGUACUUUCAGGACCCGUCUUGAAACACGGACCAAGGAGUCUAGCAUGUGCGCGAGUCAUUGGGAAUCACUAAACCUAAAGGCGCAAUGAAAGUAAAGGUUCGCCUUGCGCGAACCGAGGGAGGACGGGCGAUUUAGCCGUUAAAAGCGAUCGCCCCGCACUCCCGGGGCGUCUCGUUCUCAUCGCGAGAAGAGGCGCACCAAGAGCGUACACGCUGGGACCCGAAAGAUGGUGAACUAUGCCUGGUCAGGACGAAGUCAGGGGAAACCCUGAUGGAGGUCCGUAGCGAUUCUGACGUGCAAAUCGAUCGUCGGAACUGGGUAUAGGGGCGAAAGACUAAUCGAACCAUCUAGUA